CCACUCAGACAGUUGCAAACAAGGCAAACUCUGAGCUGUAAUCCAUGAGAUUGUAUCCAUGGGCCACUUCCUUCUUCCGGGGAUAAAUACUGCUUGCCCACAUGGCUGAUUACAUCUCUCUGAACUUUUACUGGUUCAGGGUGCUGCCCAAUUCAUGAAUCAUUUCUUUGCUCAAAUAAACUCUGGUAAAUUUAAUGUGUCUAAAGUUGUUCUUUUAUGAAGCCAAGGAGUGGAGAAUGGGAACUGGACCAGGUCAAAGCAUGUCAACACCUUCCCCACCUCCCCAGUGCUGGAGUAUAAAUCCAAACCCCCCUCCCCCCAGUCUUCAAAGCCCUGCCCAGCUGAGCUCUUCACCUUAUUUAUUUCCUUCUGGAAUCUACACCCAAAUCUCUCUGGCCUUCUUAUAGUUUCUCAAACGUGUCAUCAGGUUUCUACCUUCAGGCUUUGCCUCUGCUGUUUGCUCUGCCAGGAACACUCUUCCCAGUGGCUGAUUGGCACCACCUAUGAGGAUCACGACUUGGAACCCAGAUCCUCAGGUUGGCUCUUCCUCACAGACCCACCAAGGCAGGACGCCUCGCCCAACAUCUGCGGCUCAGAAUGAAAUCAGAAGACCCCCCAGUUAGCUGUCCCUGGCCCACCUGCAACAUGAGGGUGUUUGAGCAUGAGCAGGAAGCCGUAGCGGAGGGUGGUGCUGGUGGUCUCUGUGCCAGCAAAAAAGAGCGACAGCGUGUUGAGGAUGAAGUUCUUCUGGUUGAACUCGCUGUGUUUUGAUAGACCUGCCUGUGUGCUCCAGGAAAGAACUUCAAGAAGUCAGAGAAGAGCUCAAACAGCUGCAAGAAAGAGGGGCAGUGAGGUCAGCCUGGGGCAGGUGACAGAGAGAGGACAACCCUCCCACAUCCCAAAUCCUCCAUGGGGAACCUCUGGGUCUCUGUGUCUGUUUCUGUCUCCUUCUCUCUCUCUCAGUCCCUCACUCCCUGACCCUGUGUCUCCUUUGAUCUGUUCAUGUCUCUGUACAUAUCUCUUUCUGCUUCCUGCUGCCUGAUCUUUGUGUCUUUACCUUGGUCUCUGCCACACCUCCCUGUCUCUCUCCUUUCUCCCUCUCUUUAUCUCUCUGUCUCACUUUCUUACCAUCUUUCCCUGUCUCUCAUUGUCUACCUCAGCCUGCUCCUUUGUUUUUCUCAUUCUCUUCUCUGCUUCCUCCUUCCUCUCCUCAUCUCCCUGGCUGUGUCAGCCAUUGAUAAAAUGGUGCUUACACAAGAUGAACCUGUCAAUCACUUAAGAGUAUUUAUUUAUUUAGGAGUG